CACAUGCCAGCCCCCAGCCAGCUGGCACAGAGUCAAAGGUGCCGGCUGGUGGGCGCACGGGGGGGAGCGGCUGGCACACAGCCCCCAAGACAGACACGCAGAGCGACUGGCACGGAGCACUGGCAUUGUCAGAGCGAUGGAGACUGGCUGUUGAAGAGGAGGAGAUGUCACCGAGGUAGAUCUCAACCCCCCAUUGGUCCUGCCACCUGGACAUGACGAGUGUGUUCAUCUCGCAGGUCAGACUCCAUCCGUCACUUCCCGUCCCUGUCCAGGGCCAAAGGAAAUUGGGAAAAGCCAGGAUUCGUCUCGGAAGGGAAAAUUGAGAUUCCAACAGCUCCUUUCGGGGUGUCAGAUUUCGGAGACCUUCGGGGGCAUGUAAAUGAUUUAUAAAUGCAAUGGGAUUAAGGCAAGUGACUUUGCAGUCGAAUCUUCUGCAGGCUGAGGACAGUGCAAGGAUCCAAAGAGCAAAAACAUCCCAGC